rnacentral:lncRNA from 1 species
AGUGAAGCGGCUGGAGGUGGCUUUUUCGUCUGGACGUUGAGUUGCGUGUGAUGUGUUCAAGACGUCGUGGUCGUUGGCUUCUAAUUGUUUGGUGGGUACUUGUGCGUCCGUGUGUACUUAUUUAUAUAGUUUUAGGUGUCUUGGGUUGUGGUGGCCGAGACCUGCUGCAAAUCAGAUGCCAACACCGUGUGCAAAUCAGACUUGUGCACCGUGUGCAAAUCAGACUUGUUUUAUUUGCGUGUAUUUGUUCCUGAUCAGGAACUUUCCUCACGUGAGGUGGUUGUCCUUGUCUGUUAAUAAUAGGCUCCUUAUUUGUUUAGGUUAGACUAAUAUUUUUUUCACUUAUCAUUGAUCCAUCGAUGGGAAGUUCUUUUUCUACUAUAUUAUUUCUUUGGAACCUAUGUGCAAUACUUCAACGUGGCAUGUUCUGCUAUAUGUACAUGUAUUAUAUUCUUACGUAACACUUUCACAUUUUAAUCUC